rnacentral:rRNA from 1 species
UACGUAGGGUGCGAGCGUUAAUCGGAAUUACUGGGCGUAAAGCGUGUGCAGGCGGUCUGUUAAGACAGGUGUGAAAUCCCCGGGCUUAACCUGGGAACUGCGUUUGAAACUGGGAGACUUGAGUGUGGCAGAGGGGGGUGGAAUUCCACGUGUAGCAGUGAAAUGCGUAGAUAUGUGGAGGAACACCGAUGGCGAAGGCAGCCCCCUGGGUUAACACUGACGCUCAUGCACGAAAGCGUGGGGAGCAAACAGG